CAUGCAGUCGAACGAUGAUGCCCAGCUUGCUGGGUGGAUUAGUGGCGAACGGGUGAGUAACACGUGAGUAACCUGCCCUUAACUCUGGGAUAAGCCUGGGAAACUGGGUCUAAUACCGGAUAUGACUCCUCAUCGCAUGGUGGGGGGUGGAAAGCUUUUUGUGGUUUUGGAUGGACUCGCGGCCUAUCAGCUUGUUGGUGAGGUAAUGGCUUACCAAGGCGACGACGGGUAGCCGGCCUGAGAGGGUGACCGGCCACACUGGGACUGAGACACGGCCCAGACUCCUACGGGAGGCAGCAGUGGGGAAUAUUGCACAAUGGGCGCAAGCCUGAUGCAGCGACGCCGCGUGAGGGAUGACGGCCUUCGGGUUGUAAACCUCUUUCAGUAGGGAAGAAGCGAAAGUGACGGUACCUGCAGAAGAAGCGCCGGCUAACUACGUGCCAGCAGCCGCGGUAAUACGUAGGGCGCAAGCGUUAUCCGGAAUUAUUGGGCGUAAAGAGCUCGUAGGCGGUUUGUCGCGUCUGCCGUGAAAGUCCGGGGCUCAACUCCGGAUCUGCGGUGGGUACGGGCAGACUAGAGUGAUGUAGGGGAGACUGGAAUUCCUGGUGUAGCGGUGAAAUGCGCAGAUAUCAGGAGGAACACCGAUGGCGAAGGCAGGUCUCUGGGCAUUAACUGACGCUGAGGAGCGAAAGCAUGGGGAGCGAACAGGAUU
rnacentral:rRNA from 1 species